rnacentral:piRNA from 1 species
UAGACUGAGGUUUCACCUACUGGGCACC